rnacentral:rRNA from 1 species
CGGACGACGCUGGCGGCGUGGAUUAGGCAUGCAAGUCGGACGGUAGGGCUUUAUCGUAAGAUAGAGUUUGAGAGUGGCGAAACGGGUGAGUAACACGUAGGAAUCUACCCUUAAGACGGGGACAACCCAGGGAAACUUGGGCUAAUACCGGAUGAGAGUGCGAGAGAUUGCAUUUAAAAGGAUGGCGAAAGUUGUCGCUUAGGGAUGAGCCUGCGGUCUAUUAGUUAGUUGGUGAGGUAAGAGCUCACCAAGGCGAUGAUAGAUAGGCGGCCUUAACGGGUGGUCGCCCACACUGGGAUUGAGAUACGGCCCAGACUCCUACGGGAGGCAGCAGUGGGGAAUAUUGCACAAUGGGCGAAAGCCUGAUGCAGCGACGCCGCGUGAGGGAUGACGGCCUUCGGGUUGUAAACCUCUUUCAGCAGGGAAGAAGCGAAAGUGACGGUACCUGCAGAAGAAGCACCGGCUAACUACGUG